UACGUAGGGUCCGAGCGUUGUCCGGAAUUACUGGGCGUAAAGAGCUCGUAGGUGGUUUGUCGCGUUGUUCGUGAAAACUCACAGCUCAACUGUGGGCGUGCGGGCGAUACGGGCAGACUGGAGUACUGCAGGGGAGACUGGAAUUCCUGGUGUAGCGGUGGAAUGCGCAGAUAUCAGGAGGAACAUCGGUGGCGAAGGCAGGUCUCUGGGCAGUAACUGACGCUGAGGAGCGAAAGCGUGGGGAGCGAACAGG
rnacentral:rRNA from 1 species